rnacentral:lncRNA from 1 species
CUCCUGGAUGCUCUUCUGGGCCGGGGGCUUGUAGUUGACCGAGUGCUCAUCCUCCUCGUUCUCCGCUGCAAUCUGGGCCAGCUGCUCGGCUGUGGGCUCCUGCUCAGCCAUGCUCAAGCUUAGCCUGGGUCGGGACACCUGUGGGCGGGACGGUGACAGGCCUUGGACCUGGAUCCCCAACGGAGGCGCACUUCUGAGCAGGAGUGUGGGCUGCAGCCG